CGGGGUGUAGUUCAGUGGUAGAGUGCUUGCCUAGCAUGCACAAGGUCCCAGGUUGAAUUCCUGGUACUGCCA
rnacentral:tRNA from 1 species